AUGCCCCUGGACUUCACCAAGCACUUCCCGGCAGUGCCGCAAGAGUUCAAGCUCAGGACCAACACUAGCUGCUCAUGGAGGGUGACCGUCCGGCUGAUGGGCGGUAUGGUGACCCUCGAUCAGAGUUGGACCCCCUUCGCCGCCGUCCAUCAGAUCAGGAUCGGCUACAUGGUGACAUUCAAGCUGCUCACUCCCGACACGCUCAAGGUCAUCGUCUUCAACGAUGAAGACAUUGAAGUGGUGACCAAGUGCGGCAAGCAUAACGACGCCUUCGCCAUGAACAUCUAG
rnacentral:rRNA from 1 species